rnacentral:rRNA from 1 species
GAUGAACGCUGGCGGCGUGCCUAAUACAUGCAAGUCGAGCGAACGGAGGAGGAGCUUGCUCCUAUGACGUUAGCGGCGGACGGGUGAGUAAUACGUGGAUAACCUACCUAUAAGACUGGGAUAACUUCGGGAACCCGGAGCUAAUACCGGAUAUUAUAUUGAACGGCAUGGUACAUUAGUGAACGACGGUUUUGCUGUCACUUAUAGAUGGAUCCGGGUCGCAUUAGCUAGUUGGUAAGGUAACGGCCUACCAAGGCGACGAUCCGUAGCCGAUCUGAGAGGAUGAUCAGCCACACUGGAACUGAGACACGGUCCAGACUCCUACGGGAGGCAGCAGUGGGGAAUAUUGGACAAUGGGCGAAAGCCUGAUCCAGCAAUGCCGCGUGUGUGAAGAAGGUCUUCGGAUUGUAAAGCACUUUAAGUUGGGAGGAAGGGAAGUAAGUUAAUACCUUGAUGUUUUGACGUUACCAACAGAAUAAGCACCGGCUAACUUCGUG